rnacentral:rRNA from 1 species
UGAGGAACAUGACUUUCGGCGGGGGAUAGCCGGCCCAACGGCCGGGUAAUACCGCGUACGACCUCUCGGGGACAUCCCCGGUUGGUGAAAGCAGCAAUGCACCGAAAGAGUGCCUCGCGGCCUAUCAGCUAGUUGGUGAGGUAACGGCUCACCAAGGCAACGAUGCGUAGCCGGCCUGAGAGGGUGAUCGGCCACAUUGGAACUGAGACACGGUCCAGACUCCGUACGGGAGCAGCAGG